rnacentral:rRNA from 1 species
GACGAACGCUGGCGGCGUGCUUAACACAUGCAAGUCGAGCGGUAAGGCCCUUUCGGGGGUACACGAGCGGCGAACGGGUGAGUAACACGUGGGUGACCUGCCCUCAGCUCUGGGAUAAGCCUGGGAAACCGGGUCUAAUACUGGAUAUGACUCCAUGACGCAUGUUGUGGGGUGGAAAGCCUUGUGCGGCUGAGGAUGGGCCCGCGGCCUAUCAGCUUGUUGGUGGGGNGAUGGCCUACCAAGGCGACGACGGGUAGCCGGCCUGAGAGGGCGACCGGCCACACUGGGACUGAGACACGGCCCAGACUCCUACGGGAGGGCAGCAGUGGGGAAUCUUGCGCAAUGGGCGAAAGCCUGACGCAGCGACGCCGCGUGAGGGAUGACGGCCUGGUGUAACGU